GACGAACGCUGGCGGCGUGCUUAACACAUGCAAGUCGAACGGAAAGGCCCUGCUUUUGUGGGGUGCUCGAGUGGCGAACGGGUGAGUAACACGUGAGUAACCUGCCCUUGACUUUGGGAUAACUUCAGGAAACUGGGGCGAAUACCGGAUAGGAGCUCCUGCUGCGUGGGGGGGGUUGGAAAGUUUCGGCGGUUGGGGAUGGACUCGCGGCUUAUCAGCUUGUUGGUGGGGUAGUGGCUUACCAAGGCUUUGACGGGUAGCCGGCCUGAGAGGGUGACCGGCCACAUUGGGACUGCGAUACGGCCCAGACUCCUACGGGAGGCAGCAGUGGGGAAUAUUGCACAAUGGGCGGAAGCCUGAUGCAGCAACGCCGCGUGCGGGAUGACGGCCUUCGGGUUGUAAACCGCUUUCGCCUGUGACGAAGCGUGAGUGACGGUAAUGGGUAAAGAAGCACCGGCUAACUACGUG
rnacentral:rRNA from 1 species